UCAAGAGAGUUGAGCCUUCGAGGAUUUGCUAAGAAGCUCUUAAAAGAGGGAACUCUGGUGGAUGAAUCACAUUGUUCCUUUUGGGAAAAGAUGAAAAUUUUCUUUGUGGCUAUUUUGGCUACCAGCUAUUUCUCAUCUAUUUUUGGUCACCAUUUAUCCAAGAGCUUUGAAACUCACUCUUCGAAUUCAGUACAAUGGAAGAUGCAGAAAGACUGAAAAAGUCUGGGAUAUGACGUGAUUUUCCUUUGUCAGGAGUGAACUCAUUUGAAUUAAGCAUCAUCUUUCCUUCAAAAAGUGG